UUGUGCAAUUGUCCUGACAGGAGGCUGUGCAGAUGCAGCACCUGCUUUUUUGCUCCAGAAAAUUUUCAAAAGAAGACACGGUCGCCCUUUGGCUCCUCCACAGAGGCCAUCUCCUUGCAUGCAGCCUGCUCCGGGGCGCAUCAUCUCCUGGAGGCGUAUGCUGAAACAACACAAAGU
rnacentral:lncRNA from 1 species